rnacentral:rRNA from 1 species
AGGAUGAACGCUGGCGGUCUGCUUAACACAUGCAAGUCGAACGGAGUAGCAAUACUUAGUGGCGGACGGGUGAGUAACGCGUGAGAAUCUACCUUCAGGACGGAGACAACAGUUGGAAACGACUGCUAACCCCCGAUGUACCGAAAGGGCAAAUAUUUAUAGCCUGAAGAAGAGCUCGCGUCCGAUUAGCUAGUUGGAGAGGUAAAAAGCUCACCAAGGCGACGAUCGGUAGCUGGUCUGAGAGGACGAUCAGCCACACUGGGACUGAGACACGGCCCAGACUCCUACGGGAGGCAGCAGUGGGAAUUUUCCGCAAUGGGCGAAAGUCUGACCGAGCGACGCCGCGUGGAGGAUGACGCCUUUCGGGGUGUAAACUCCUUUUCUGCGGGAAGAUAAUGACGGUACCGCAGGAAUAAGCACCGGCUAACGUACGCGCCAGCAGCCGC